rnacentral:piRNA from 1 species
UGGGAUCCAGUGAGACAUCACCUGAUUA